rnacentral:lncRNA from 1 species
UUUAUGUCACAACCAUCAAAUUAAGCCUCACCCAGCCCUCAUGAAGGGCUCUCCAUCUAACCCAGGUGUAUCUAUUUGGAUAUCAAGGAUGACCGAGGGGAUCUGGGUAUAUAUGGGCUUCUUGGAACUCUAGUCCAAAGUGAAUGAUAUCACAGGUUGGCAAAUCUAUCAUCACCGGUGUUCUCAUGGUUGAGGUCAUUCCUUCAUCACCAAAUCAGCCAAAUCGUUGUAGGAAAGAUGGAUUUCUAACUAGUAAUGCUAUAAAUGUUCACGUUGAUUAUAAGAUGUUAGGUGAAAUACUUGUAAAAAAAAAGAGAAAAAAACUUAUUAGAAAUUUAUCAUCAAUCA